rnacentral:rRNA from 1 species
CCUACGGGAGGCAGCAGUGGGGAAUAUUGGACAAUGGGGGAAACCCUGAUCCAGCAAUGCCGCGUGAGUGAAGAAGGCCCUUGGGUUGUAAAGCUCUUCCACCUGUGUCGAUAAUGACGGUAACAGGACAAGAAGCCCCGGCUAACUCCGUGCCAGCAGCCGCGGUAAGACGGAGGGGGCUAGCGUUAUUCGGAAUUACUGGGCGUAAAGGGUGUGUAGGCCGUUUUUUAAGCAAGAUGUGAAAGCCUCAAGCUCAACUUGAGAACUGCAUCUUGAACUGAAAAACUAGAGUGCGAAAGGGGAAAGAGGAAUUCCUAGUGUAGGGGUGAAAUCCAUAGAUAUUAGGAAGAACACCAAAGGCGAAGGCAACUUUCUGGUUCGCAACUGACGCUGAGACACGAAAGCGUGGGGAGCAAAUAGGAUUAGAUACCCUAGUAGUCCACGCUGUAAACGAUGAAUGCUAGACGUUGGGGGCUUGCCUCUCAGUGUCGCAGCUAACGCAUGAAGCAUUCCGCCUGGGGAGUACGGUCGCAAGAUUAAAACUCAAAGGAAUUGACGG